CGUAGCAGCCGUGCCUUCAGACUCCGAUUUGCGACUCCGGGGGGCUGAGAGAGAAUAAGUAGAACCCCUUACCCGAGGCAGUGGCCCCGAGGCACCCCCUCCUACUGCACCAGCCCGCCCCUGCCCGGAGCGCGCCAGCGUCUCCAGUUUCCCAUUGAUGAGCCGAGGGAGGGAGGGAAGGCAGAUUCCGCACGCGGCGGCGGAAUCUCCCAGCGCCCCGGGUCCCCUAGGGUAGGACCCUCCGCUAUCAAGCCCCAGGAGGCGGCCGGCCACUGCCCAACUACGGGGAACGUUUUGCUUGCACUUUACAGAAAGCCAGACCCGGGAUUAAGGGAAGGAGGGAAACGUCUGCCACAGCUCAGUCUAAGAGGAAGAAGCAAGCUGAGUACAACCUCCCCUGUUAAAUAUUGCAAGGUGACACAGGAUCGCCUCCCACACAGGGAUUUUCAAAAGGACUAGGGGAGGAAACACAGUAAACAGGAAUGAUGUUUUCCCGAGGUGAAGUUUUUCUGUGUAAGAUCUCCCAAGGACUCUUCAGACCGAGGGGUUUCUAAUCUGUGUGCCUGAACUCCCAACAGCAGCUUGGCACUGAAUUAGAAGGCACCCACCGACCUCGCGCUCAUGCAGCCCCAGUGUCUCUGAGACCUAGGAACUCCGCGUUUGGCUGACUGCUGCCCGCGAUUCACCGCUCCAUUCACGCCCAGACAGGGAAAUACCGACAUGAAUGCACUCCAGGGAGACGCACAGGGCUCCCGGGAACAGUAUCACGCGAAAGCAUCACCUACCAGUUUUCCUGCAUCCAUUGGAUCGCUUCAUUCUCGUUGAACUGCUUUUCGAAUUCAUAUUCUUGUAAAGUCAACACUGACAUGUUCAUUGGGGCUGAUCUUCGGAGUCCCUACGUGUUCUCUACACAAAAUAAAAUAAUCUGUAAAGCGCUUGAU